AAACAAUUGUGUGGAUAAUCCCUGACCAACCUUUUAAACCUCUCCCAAGCAUCGCUGAGCGAUUUGUCCAUGUCCUGUUCAAAAUUUGUAAUGAGUUUCCUUCGUCU